AGGAAUAUUGGUCAAUGGACGAAAGUCUGAACCAGCCAUGCCGCGUGCAGGAAGACGGCUCUAUGAGUUGUAAACUGCUUUUGUACAAGGGUAAACCUGAAUACGUGUAUUCAGCUGAAAGUACUGUACGAAUAAGGAUCGGCUAACUCCGUGCCAGCAGCCGCGGUAAUACGGAGGAUCCAAGCGUUAUCCGGAUUUAUUGGGUUUAAAGGGUGCGUAGGCGGAUUGAUAAGUUAGAGGUGAAAUGUCCGAGCUCAACUCGGGAACUGCCUCUAAUACUGUUGAUCUAGAGAGUAGAUGCGGUAGGCGGAAUGUAUGGUGUAGCGGUGAAAUGCUUAGAGAUCAUACAGAACACCGAUUGCGAAGGCAGCUUACCAAUCUAUAUCUGACGUUGAGGCACGAAAGCGUGGGGAGCAAACAGG
rnacentral:rRNA from 1 species